CCUACGGGUGGCAGCAGUGGGGAAUAUUGCACAAUGGGCGAAAGCCUGAUGCAGCAACGCCGCGUGAAGGAAGAAGGGUUUCGGCUCGUAAACUUCUAUCAACAGGGACGAAAGAAAUGACGGUACCUGAAUAAGAAGCCCCGGCUAACUACGUGCCAGCAGCCGCGGUAAUACGUAGGGGGCAAGCGUUAUCCGGAAUUACUGGGUGUAAAGGGUGAGUAGGCGGCAUGGUAAGCCAGAUGUGAAAGCCUUGGGCUUAACCCGAGGAUUGCAUUUGGAACUAUCAAGCUAGAUUACAGGAGAGGAAAGCGGAAUUCCUAGUGUAGCGGUGAAAUGCGUAGAUAGUAGGAAGAACCCCGAUUGCGAAGGCAGCUUACUAAACUGUGACUGACAUUGAUGCUCGAAAGUGUGGGUAUCAAACAGGAUUAGAUACCCCAGUAGUC
rnacentral:rRNA from 1 species